UACGUAGGGAGCAAGCGUUGUCCGGAAUCAUUGGGCGUAAAGCGCGCGUAGGUGGCUUCGUAAGUCCGUUGUGAAAGUCAAAGGCUCAACCUUUGAAAGCCGAUGGAUACUGUGAAGCUAGAGUACGGAAGAGGCGAGUGGAAUUCCUGGUGUAGCGGUGGAAUGCGCAGAUAUCAGGAGGAACACCAAUAGCGAAGGCAGCUCGCUGGGCCGAUACUGACGCUGAGGAGCGAAGGCGUGGGGAGCGAACGGG
rnacentral:rRNA from 1 species